rnacentral:rRNA from 1 species
AUUGAACGCUGGCGGCAUGCUUUACACAUGCAAGUCGAACGGCAGCGCGGGCUUCGGCCUGGCGGCGAGUGGCGAACGGGUGAGUAAUGCAUCGGAACGUGCCCAGUAGUGGGGGAUAGCCCGGCGAAAGCCGGAUUAAUACCGCAUACGCCCUGAGGGUGAAAGCGGGGGACCGAAAGGCCUCGCGCUCUUGGAGCGGCCGAUGUCGGAUUAGCUAGUUGGUGGGGUAAAGGCUUACCAAGGCGACGAUCCGUAGCUGGUCUGAGAGGACGACCAGCCACACUGGGACUGAGACACGGCCCAGACUCCUACGGGAGGCAGCAGUGGGGAAUUUUGGACAAUGGGGGCAACCCUGAUCCAGCCAUGCCGCGUGCGGGAAGAAGGCCUUCGGGUUGUAAACCGCUUUUGUUCGGGAAGAAAUCCUCUGGGCUAAUACCCCGGGGGGAUGACGGUACCGGAAGAAUAAGCACCGGCUAACUACGUG